CUAGCGACUUCAGAGUUUGAUCCUGGCUCAGGAUUAACGCUGGCGGCGUGCAUAACACAUUCAAGUCGAACGGAACGAAGGGCUUCGGUCCUUUGUUUAGUGGCGGACGGGUGAGUAACGCGUGAGCAAUCUACCUCUGGGUACGGAAUAACAACCGGAAACAGUUGCUAAUACCGUAUGAAAUAGCAGCUUCGCAUGAAGCAACUAUCAAAGAUUUAUUGCCAAGAGAUGAGCUUGCGUCCGAUUAGAUAGUUGGUGGGGUAACGGCCUACCAAGUCGACGAUCGGUAGCCGGACUGAGAGGUUGAACGGCCACAUUGGAACUGAGAUACGGUCCAG
rnacentral:rRNA from 1 species